CUACGGGAGGCUGCAGUGGGGAAUAUUGGACAAUGGGGGGAACCCUGAUCCAGCCAUGCCGCGUGUGUGGAGAAGGCCCUCGGGUUGUAAAGCACUUUCAGUGAGGAAGAACGCCUGGUGGUUAAUACCCAUCAGGAAAGACAUCACUCACAGAAGAAGCACCGGCUAACUCCGUGCCAGCAGCCGCGGUAAUACGGAGGGUGCGAGCGUUAAUCGGAAUUACUGGGCGUAAAGCGCGCGUAGGUGGCUUGAUAAGCCGGUUGUGAAAGCCCCGGGCUCAACCUGGGAACGGCAUCCGGAACUGUCAAGCUAGAGUGCAGGAGAGGAAGGUAGAAUUCCCGGUGUAGUGGUGAAAUGCGUAGAGAUCGGGAGGAAUACCAGUGGCGAAGGCGGCCUUCUGGACUGACACUGACACUGAGGUGCGAAAGCGUGGGUAGCAAACGGGAUUAGAUACCCCAGUAGUC
rnacentral:rRNA from 1 species